rnacentral:pre_miRNA from 8 species
UCUUUGUCCCUGAGACCCUUAACCUGUGAGGUCAAACUAGGUCACAGGUGAGGUCCUCAGGAACAGGG